UCUUUUCGUUCCGCGUAUAGGCAAACGCGAAACCGUCACACGUGGAAGCUGUGUCGAUUCAGCGUCUCUUCCGAGCACCCAAAAGCACUGUGAAACGCUGCCGGACUACUUGGCGCGGUAACAGAAGUGUAGCAUCCA
rnacentral:lncRNA from 1 species